rnacentral:lncRNA from 1 species
CCCCAUUUUAGGGAAGAGAAAGUGAGGCACAAAAGUGUUCACUUAUUUUUCCCAAGUUUCGCAGCUAGUAAGAGGCAGACCCAGAAUUCCGCUGCGGCAGUUUGGCUCCGGGGUACGUGGACGUGACACUCAUGACAUUUGUCUUGUGCGGCCCUGCUUCUUCCUUAGCGCGGUGAGCACGCUGGGUGAGGCGGGGGUCUGAGGGACAAACGGCCCAGGAUGCAUCUCAGGGAGGCUUGGCAAGGAGGCUCGUGCAGCCGGGAGGCCAGGGCUGCAGACUUUUUCCGCUUUCCUGGUACCGCGAAGGACCCAUCGCCCUUGCAUUUGGAUUUCCACUUCCUUGUCCUUCCACAUGAAAUUUGAAAUGGUACGAAGAAUCCAGCUAUUAGAAUUAUCCCACGUCCUGACUGACUUUCAGCGGAUUUGUGCUGUGGACCACAGACAGAAAAGUCUCUCAGAUGGCCACAUCAACUCAGCUAACAGUUUCGUGAGAGAGAAUGAUGAAUAGAAAGGAAUUUGAAGCAAGUGGAACUGCUAUUGAAACACUGCAUAGCCUCGAGACUGGAGGUGAGAGGGUACCUAACUUUUUGCAUUUGCACAUAUUUGGGUUAUUGAGGUCUUUAAAGUCAAGUCUUAGUUAUAAACUCUGAAGGUGACUAUUCCUGAACCGUAUUGAUUUCAGUGGAAAGAACAUUAGCUCUAGGAUUCAAUGUACUGAGUUCUAGCCCAAGCGAUGCCACUAAUUCUGCAAGGUCAAAUGAUAUUUCUCAGGAAGCAUAUUUCCUCAUUUGAAAAGACAGGGUAAUCAUCCCUCUUACUCAUACGGUUAUUGUGAAGAUCACAAUACUUUGAAGGCCAGGAAAGCUGUUUGGCAACUGUGAAGUGUUAUAUAAAUGUAAGAUGAUUUUCUAAAGGUAUUUCAGAAUCAAAUAUACCAAAGGUUCAUGAUUGGGGAUAUUCAGAAAACUGUAACUACUUUCACCUCAAGAAUAUUCAUACUUUAAUUUUUUUUUUGUUAAAAGCUUUUCCCUUCUGCUAUGAGUUCUAACAACAGUUAUCAGUGCUCAGACCAUGAGUCUGUAAACUUCUAGGUCAGUCACCCAAUCACUAUCUUUUCUUUAAAAAAUAAUCUGUAAUAUAUUUUUUCUUCCUCAGUACUCACACAAUCUUCAUUCUUUACCAGACACAUUUAGCCUCCUA